CUCAAUUACUUGCUAAAUGAAGCGCCGAAGGCAUAACUUCAGUCUCUGCUUCUCCGCCUCCCUCGUCCUCCUGUUGUUGCUGCUCCUUUUGCUGCUCUUGGCGCUGUCUGUAACUCUCUUGAGCCAAUUUGCUUCCGCUUUCAAUUCAUCGAACUCUUCUUCUCAUUGUCGUCAUCUGUGAUUUCUCCUCCUCCUCCUCCCUCCUCAUGCGGUUGCUGCACAACCGUUUCGCACGUUGCUUUCGCCUCUUUAGAAUAAUAUCUUAAACUUUAAGAAGCUUGUCUUUGUUUGCCGCCUGCACUAUCUAACUUGAUUUCCGCUUCACCUCCUCCUUCCUAUAAGUUGUUCAACAUUGCCGCCAUUGUGUAACUCCCUUCUUGCUUUUCUGAUUGCGCCUCGCUGGUUGUGCGUGUGCUACCCCGUGCUGUCCCGUGCUGUCCCGUGCUAUCUCGUGCCUCCCGUGUGGAGGAAGCACACACGGCUGGUUGGUAUGUGCAUCGACGCAAUUGAUUGCUGACUCUGAUGUAGUGGGUGGAUUAUUGUGUUUGCCAUUUGGCUGUUUCUCGGUGGAGUAAUGUCACGGUUUAUGCGAGGACAGGUUUGGAGUGCUCACGCGCGGGCUUCGUUCUUCGAGAGUGUUAUCUCUGUUCGCUUGAUCUUGUUGAGUUUUGCGACGUGGAGCUACGUUGGAGGAGUUGCGCGCUAUUCCCUACUUGUUGGCGUUUCUUGUAUUUUUUGAAGCAAUGGUUUGAUUGCUACUGCAGCUCUGCUUCUUUGAGAUACGAGUGGGUGAUGAGCGAUCAACUGUCACGCUGCUUUGAUAGCUGGUUGGGGGUGGCCUCCGACAUGGUAUGCACUAGAAGAGCGCAAGCGAAUUUGUAAUCCUUUAGAGAUUUUAAGUAUUUUUCACAGGCCUUUCCCUCCUCUCGAAAACACAGAACGUGUUAAAUCUGGAUGGCUUCCGACUGGCCGUAGGAUCUGCUUGAUCGUAAUCCUGCCAUUUUCUCUGUGUUCUUCCUCAGAAUAAUCUUGUGAUAUCGUCGAGAAACAUAUCAACUUUGGUCAGCUGGCUAUCUGCUUCGGCUGUGCAGCGUACGGACAUGACAGAAUAUUCGCAAAGAGAUUUUGAAAAUUCUUGAGGAGCUUUCCGCACAUUUGCAGUGGAGCAUAGUAUAUACUUCUUCAUGAUAGAACUGGUCCGGCUAAGUACACUCAGACAAGGCGCACAGGGUUUGCACGCCACGUUCUUAUCGUGGUUACACAAAGGGUAGCGGAACUCGUACGGGCCCUUGAGUGUAGUGGUUUUGAAACGUAUAAGAGAGGCACGCUAAAAGCCAGAGACAAUAGGUACUCUAGACUUACCCAGGUUCGCAGUAGGAGAUGUCAGUAUGCACUUCGACGACAAUGGGGCUGGUUCGGUAGACUACAUUGAAAACAAGAACGAAUAUUUUGAGCUUGUGGGGAGCAAUGGUGUUACAGAAUUACAAAUGUACGCAGAGACUGUGGAAGCUGAUGCUGUCAAGGGGAACGAGCUACUGGACGCAGAUUGCAUCAGUGAAGACGCCAGCACCUCUAGCAGCUUCUCCACUCAAGGUUCUGGGUCUCGAAUGGAAGACAGCCAUGGAUGGUGCAGCGAUUCUGGAGGCAAGAGUCGAGGAAUGUCGUCAUCUUUGAAUGCCUUAGAAGCCGUUGUGAUGAAAGUGUUGGAGAGGGUGCGAGCUGCCGGAUACGGCGAAGAGAUGUGCAAAGAGUUCCGUGAACAUUUUGCCCGUCUACCGGCUCGGUACACAUUGAACAUUGAUGCUCAUAGACAUGAGGAUGUGUUGCUGCACAUGGAGUUACUACAGGAUGCACGGGAUGCAGAAUAUGCCAGUAGCUGUAGCAGUUACAGUGACCAUGCCGCCCCCGUUCCACAGGUUCACGUACGAAAAGUGCAGUUAGCGGGAUUUGGAUCACUUCCCAGUGGUGGGUUGGAUUGCAUUGCUCCCUCACCUACACAUUCGCCAAGUGAAGGUGCCCCUUGGAAAGGACCCCAGGUCCCGAGACCUGCCUUCGAGUCUGAAACAAAUUUAGUAGGGUUGGGACUUGGUGGUAAACCAAAACUUCAGCUGUUGGAGCCAGUAUUGUGCAGGUCAUCCUCAACCCCACUAUGUCGGAUACCUUCCCGUCACCCUCCUCUCGGAAACGCACCACCUAGCUGCAAUGGGCCGCAGCACACCAUUCCCCGUCCUGCGUUUGGAAACCUUUCAAACGCAUUGCAUAUUGACGAUGAAGGAAUUGGGUACAUCAGCGAACAUGAUGAUGCCUCUUCACCCUUUGGAUACGAAGUUACGAUUGCCACCACCGAUAGACAAGGGCUUAUGAAAUACUUCACAUCAGCUUUGAGCGAUUCACAUCUGCAACUGAAUAUCAAGGAAGCCCACGUAUUCAGCACGAUAGAUGGAAUGGCAUUGGAGGUUUUUGUUGUGGAAGGUUGGCCUGGUGACGAGGCUGAAGAACUGAGGCAUUCUGUUUUAGAGGCUUUAGAGAAAAAGUCGGAAGUAAGAGGCAAACGUCCUGAAGAUUCCAAGUUGCGAGCUGCUGCUGAAGCCAUUCAAUAUGAAGAUUGGGCCGUAGAUUUCAAUCUGCUUGAGAUAGGUGAGAAACUUGGAAAUGGAUCGACAGGCAGGUUAUACAAAGGAAAAUAUUUGUCUCAAGAUGUAGCAGUUAAAAUCAUUGAGAUAGACGAAUAUAACAGCAGUGGUACAGACUCAGAUACUCAAAGGUCUGCUCCAGCAGCAGAGCGGCUACAGAUUUACAAGCAAGAGGUAUCCAUUAUGAGAUUGGUGAGACACAAGAACGUGGUGCAGUUCAUCGGUGCUUGUUCGAAUUGGCCCAAGCUCUGCAUUGUUACUGAAUUAAUGGCUGGUGGCAGUGUGCGAGACCUUCUUGACUAUCGAAGGAGUGGCUUAGGCAUCGCGUCAGCUAUUAAAAUCUUACGAGAUUCAGCGAGAGGAAUGGAUUUUUUACACAAGAGAGGGAUUGUACAUAGAGAUAUGAAAGCUGCAAAUUUGCUUAUUGAUGAGCACGAUGUUGUCAAAGUGUGUGAUUUUGGUGUUGCUCGUCUGAAGCCUACCUCUAUCAAUACUGCUGGAAAGACAACCCGUUUUUCUGCUGAGAUGACAGCUGAGACAGGAACCUACCGGUGGAUGUCUCCUGAGAUGCUGGAACACAAACCUUACGACCAGAAAGCAGACGUCUACUCCUUUGGGAUCACAAUGUGGGAGGUGUUAACAGGAAACAUACCUUACGCUGGGCUAACUCCUUUGCAAGCUGCAAUUGGGGUUGUUCAACGAGGACUUCGGCCGGAAUCUCCACCGUAUAUACCUGAAGUUCUAGCACACUUAAUGCACAGAUGUUGGGAUAAAGAUCCGGAGGAAAGACCUGAAUUUAGUGAGGUACUUUGUACACUUGAGAAUAUGGUUAUCCCGACGUCUUCGAGGAGAACAGCGUCGAGAAGGAGGUCGACAAACGCAUCUUUUCGGUCAUGAAUCCACUUUGUAUUCUACAUCUAUGCGAUGUGAGACCACACGGAACCCUCCAAUUUUGUGAAUGUGUAUACCGCAAGGAUGCGUUGCACAUCCAGCUUUGGCAUGUGAGAUAUUGUGUCAACAUGAAGCGCACCACCCGCGUGACUAACGGUCGAGAGAAGAUUGAGGAAAAGAAUUAUGGACUGUCAAAGAGCCAAUCAUAAGCAUUCGAUAAUUGAGCACAUGUAAGUUUCUUGAAAAUGUGUAUUUUUUAUAGUCUAUUUAUUUUGGAGCAAUUGCAAGCUUUGAUAUGCCUAAUAAUAAAAAUUGUAAGCUAUGGUUGACAGGUAUAAUAUCUCUUAUCAUUUAUGAAU